UGGGGAAUAUUGGACAAUGGGCGCAAGCCUGAUCCAGCCAUGCCGCGUGAGUGAUGAAGGCCCUAGGGUUGUAAAGCUCUUUCAUCGGUGAAGAUAAUGACGGUAACCGGAGAAGAAGCCCCGGCUAACUUCGUGCCAGCAGCCGCGGUAAUACGAAGGGGGCUAGCGUUGUUCGGAUUUACUGGGCGUAAAGCGCACGUAGGCGGACUAUUAAGUCAGGGGUGAAAUCCCGGGGCUCAACCCCGGAACUGCCUUUGAUACUGGUAGUCUUGAGUUCGAGAGAGGUGAGUGGAAUUCCGAGUGUAGAGGUGAAAUUCGUAGAGAUUCGGAGGAACACCAGUGGCGAAGGCGGCUCACUGGCUCGAUACUGACGCUGAGGUGCGAAAGCGUGGGGAGCAAACAGG
rnacentral:rRNA from 1 species